GAGCGGUAUUGUUUCUUCGGAAACGAGAGAGCGGCGCACGGGUGCGGAACACGUGUGCAACCUGCCUUUAUCUGGGGGAUAGCCUUUCGAAAGGAAGAUUAAUACCCCAUAAUAUUUUGAAUGGCAUCAUUUAAAAUUGAAAACUCCGGUGGAUAGAGAUGGGCACGCGCAAGAUUAGAUAGUUGGUAGGGUAACGGCCUACCAAGUCAGUGAUCUUUAGGGGCCUGAGAGGGUGAUCCCCCACACUGGUACUGAGACACGGACCAGACUCCUACGGGAGGCAGCAGUGAGGAAUAUUGGACAAUGGGUGAGAGCCUGAUCCAGCCAUCCCGCGUGAAGGACGACGGCCCUAUGGGUUGUAAACUUCUUUUGUACAGGGAUAAACCUUUCCACGUGUGGAAAGCUGAAGGUACUGUACGAAUAAGCACCGGCUAACUCCGUG
rnacentral:rRNA from 1 species